rnacentral:rRNA from 1 species
UGGGGAAUCUUCCGCAAUGGACGAAAGUCUGACGGAGCAACGCCGCGUGAGUGAUGACGGUCUUCGGAUUGUAAAGCUCUGUUAAUCGGGACGAAUGGUUUGUGUGCAAAUAGUGCAUAGACAUGACGGUACCGGAAUAGAAAGCCACGGCUAACUACGUGCCAGCAGCCGCGGUAAUACGUAGGUGGCAAGCGUUGUCCGGAAUUAUUGGGCGUAAAGCGCGCGCAGGCGGACUAGCCAGUCAGUCUUAAAAGUUCGGGGCUUAACCCCGUGAUGGGAUGGAAACUACUAGUCUAGAGUAUCGGAGAGGAAAGUGGAAUUCCUAGUGUAGCGGUGAAAUGCGUAGAUAUUAGGAAGAACACCAGUGGCGAAGGCGACUUUCUGGACGAACACUGACGCUGAGGCGCGAAGGCCAGGGGAGCGAACGGG